AGGCUGCACGCUUCCUCUACUGUUUGGUUCCUGUAUUGAUGACUCCUGAUUUUCACUUUACUUGGUUUCAGUACUAGUUCUCUCCCCCUGAAGAAUGCCAUCGAUCCUUAAGAUCCUAGGAACUCUCUUGGGCCCAAGCACGGCAGGGCCCCCCUGGGGUCUGGAGCAGGACUCUCUUCCUUCUCCCUGAGGAGUGCAGAAUCGGUUACAGAUGGGAGUCAGGCCCACAUGCAAUGACCAGGGCGGUCAGGCGUCCUCCGAGAAAAGCAGUCGGUGUGAGAUUUGCUGACACCCCAGAGAGGUGACCAUCCCCCAAACUUCUGGUGAGGACAGUCUCAGUUUUGGCUGCACUUUAUACCCGACCUGGGCCUCGCCCCUGUGUCGGUCAGGAUUUCAUGACAUGACCAGAGGUCCUGACGAGGAUGACUGAGAGCAAGAGAAGUUUAUUUUGGCUGGUGGUUUCAGAGAUUCAGUUCAUAGGAAGUCGACUCCAUGGCUCUGGGCCCAAGGUGGGGCAGAAAUCAUGGUGGAAGGGCGUGGUGGAGGGGAGCAGCUAGGACCAGAGGUCUGGAAGGCCAGUAGCAGAGAGAGCGCCACUCAUCAGGGACAAAAUACAUACCUGAAGCCGGGCGUGGUGGUGCCCACUUGUCAUCAGAGACUUGAGAGGCUGAGGCAGGAGGAUCGCAAGAUCUAUGCCAGUUUCUGCAACUUAGUGAGAUCCUGUUUCAAAAUAAAAAAUAAAAAAGGGCUGGGGAUAUGGCUCAGUGGCAAAGCACCCCGGGGUUAAAUCCUCAGAAGGAUUUAUAUGCGCGCGCGCACGCGCCAAAGGCACACCCCAAAUGACUACCUCCUCCAGCCAUACCCUACCUGCCUAUGGUUUCAGUUAAUCCAUGUAAGUGGAUUAAUCCAUUAUUAGUCUACAGCUAGUCAUUCCACCUCUGAACAUUCUUGCGUUGUCUCACACGUGAACUAUUGGGGGACGCCCAUCUAAAUCACGUGAUUCUCUGAUAUCCUAAUUUCAUUGAUCUGGGGUGGGGCCAGGGCUCAUUUCCUUAAAACCUUCUAAGCUGUGGUCAACAUGCAGGUGGGGUGAGUUCCUGGUGUGCGGAACGUGGACAGAGGAUCCAGCAAUGAUUUUGGGACUAACCCAGGUCACCUAACAAGAGUGAGGAGCCACAGUAAACUCUCGUUUGUUUACGUUUCCUUCUUUGGUUUGGCAGGACUAGCACCGGUGUCCCUGCUGUCUAGAAGACUCUUCCUUCACACUGAUCUUGGCCGACGUGGGGACUUGAGGGUGGGGUCUUGGUGUUCUGUUGGCUGAUGGCUGCUGGAGUCAGAAUCGUGAGAAGAUCGCGUCCAUCUGGAACUUUCUAGGGUUUGUAGACUGCAAGUGCGAGGAUUCUUACAGCUCAUAAACAGAAGGAAAAAAAUCUCUAGAUGAGACUGCUAGGGACAGUCCUCCGGACACCAAGCCAAGAGGUCUCUUUGUCAGCUGUCAUAAUGCCCCUCUGGUCACUGUGGGAUGUUGGUGGUUAUAGCAAUGGAGGGCGCACAGAGGGAUUAUGGCAGGAGGUUUUCAGAAACUCACACAUGCCCUGUCCAGAUUCCUCUCCCUGGGGCCAGCUCUGCUCAGCCACAGUUUGUGUCUUUAUUGGAGGUCUUCUACGUGGACACCAAGGGUGGGGGGUGGUGUCAC
rnacentral:lncRNA from 1 species